rnacentral:rRNA from 1 species
GAUGAACGCUGGCGGCGUGCCUAAUACAUGCAAGUCGAGCGAACAGAUAAGGAGCUUGCUCCUUUGACGUUAGCGGCGGACGGGUGAGUAACACGUGGGUAACCUACCUAUAAGACUGGAAUAACUCCGGGAAACCGGGGCUAAUGCCGGAUAACAUUUAGAACCGCAUGGUUCUAAAGUGAAAGAUGGUUUUGCUAUCACUUAUAGAUGGACCCGCGCCGCAUUAGCUAGUUGGUAAGGUAACGGCUUACCAAGGCAACGAUGCGUAGCCGACCUGAGAGGGUGAUCGGCCACACUGGAACUGAGACACGGUCCAGACUCCUACGGGAGGCAGCAGUAGGGAAUCUUCCGCAAUGGGCGAAAGCUUGACGGAGCAACGCCGCGUGAGUGAUGAAGGUCUUCGGAUCGUAAAACUCUGUUAUUAGGGAAGAACAAAUGUGUAAGUAACUAUGCACGUCUUGACGGUACCUAAUCAGAAAGCCACGGCUAACUACGUG